rnacentral:rRNA from 1 species
GAUGAACGCUAGCGGCAGGCUUAAUACAUGCAAGUCGUGGAGCAGCGCAGUGUAGCAAUACAUGGGCGGCGACCGGCAAACGGGUGCGUAACACGUACGCAACCUUCCCGUUACUGGGGAAUAGCCCAGGGAAACUUGGAUUAAUACCCCAUAUUAUAUUGAUUGGGCAUCUAAUUAAUAUCAAAGCUUCGGCGGUAACGGAUGGGCGUGCGGUUGAUUAGGUAGUUGGCGGGGUAACGGCCCACCAAGCCUACGAUCAAUAGCUGAUGUGAGAGCAUGAUCAGCCACACGGGCACUGAGACACGGGCCCGACUCCUACGGGAGGCAGCAGUAAGGAAUAUUGGGCAAUGGACGAAAGUCUGACCCAGCCAUGCCGCGUGGAGGAUGAAGGUCCUCCGGAUUGUAAACUUCUUUUUUCUGGGGCGAAAACCGGUUUUUCUAAACCAUUUGACAGUACCAGAAGAAUAAGCACCGGCUAACUCCGUGCCAGCCGCCGCCGUAACGC